rnacentral:lncRNA from 1 species
GUGCAUAAAUUGCAGUACAAUUUAUGAAUUGUACUGCAAUUCUCCAAAAGCAAUUACAGUGAUAAACCUAAAAUUCUAACAAAAUAUCCUUGAAAGAAUCAAACCUGGGUAAAACACUAAAUUAGUGGGAAAAUGUCUCCAUUCAAUGAUCAAUUUGUAACCCUAUAAAUAAGUUUUAUAAUGAAGUAUAAUAGGAAAUUUAUCAGUUGGCCUGCCUACCAAACAUCACCCAUAAGCUAACAACAAAAAAACAGGCUGGAAAUAGGGAGACAGGUUUCUAAUCCAAUUCUGGCUCACUGAUUAUAUAACCUGGGAUAAUCUCAACUGGAAAUGGGUAUGGCAUAUCCAUCCUUUCAUGUCUGAAAAUUAAAAGUCAAACUCAGAAAUGUGGCAGUUGUUUAAAAAAGAACUCUAUAAAAUCCAAAGUACUCAUAUACAAUGAAAUUGAAUAAGGAGAAAAAA